UACGAAGGGGGCGAGCGUUGUUCGGAUUUACUGGGCGUAAAGGGCGCGCAGGCGGCUUUGUUUGUCAGGCGUGAAAGCCCCGGGCUUAACCUGGGAACUGCGUUUGAUACGGCAGGGCUAGAGUUCGGGAGAGGAGAGUGGAAUUCCCAGUGUAGAGGUGAAAUUCGUAGAUAUUGGGAAGAACACCGGUGGCGAAGGCGGCUCUCUGGACCGUAACUGACGCUGAGGCGCGAAAGCGUGGGGAGCAAACAGG
rnacentral:rRNA from 1 species